GGCGCCUGCGCACUUCGUCUCCGCCGCUGCUGUGGUCUCGCGCCCCACUCCCCAGUUUUCCCCAGGCUCGAGCUCAGCAGCGGAGGUGGCGGUGCUGCCGGGAGCGGAUGCACCGAGUUAAAGGUGGGGGUUGGGGGUCCACAGCCUGCAGAGGGGCCAGCACACCUUUCCCAUCCUCGGGGCGCCCCCCAUCUUGCCCCCACGGCUAACGGUCGCGGGGCCGAAUGCGGCCCACCAGAAGGGCGCGGAAGGGGUGUAGGCGCGUGUCCAGGGACUAGCAGGGCUCAGCGAGGGAGGGGCGCGCCCACUAUCCCUGCUGGCCUACACCGACCCCGCCUACACCGCGGUGCAAGGACCCUAGGUGAGUAACAACCCCCUCUAGGGGAAGAAGGGAGGGGACAGGGUGGGGUGAUGGCCUGGAAAUGCAGGCAAGAAUGUACCUGCGUGUACACUCACGACCUCUGACCUUAUGAUAUCACCCCUGACCCCUGUCUGACCUCUUUUUUCAACCCCGGACCCCUGCCAACCUUGGUCUUAGGACCUUCAGUUAGAUCCCUGACCUAAUCAUAUUCUGGCCUGCUGUGAUCCUUAACCCUUGCUUUGUCCCCCCUUAAUCCAGUAUCACCCCCAAACCCUUGCAGAUUUUUCCUCAGGAUCCUUGGUCUGACCCUAGGUCCUUGUCUGACCAUGUCCUGUAUCUCAUCUUGCCCUGUCUUGAUACCCAGCUGACCCUAGUUUAUGUCUGGUUGCUUGGAUCUGUGUGUUCCCAAAACGCUUAUCAGGUGUCUGAAACUCUUCCAUUUGUGAUCUGUCUUCCUAACCCCAAUCUGAUCCAGUUCUAUCCUGAUUCCUGGCCCCUUAUUUCUGUACUUUCUCCCCACCCUGUACUAUCCCUCUGGUCUGUUUCCCACCUCCUGAUCUCCCUCUUGGCCCACCACUUUUAAACAUCCCCCUAUGUCUCCUACCUGUCCCUGUCCCCAACCCUUUCCUGUUUUUCCCUCUUUUUUUUUUUUUUUUGGUCCCAUCUCUACCUCUUUCCUAUCCUCAUUGUGUCCUGGUCUUUUCCUGUUCCUGAUCUCCCUUAUGAACCUGCCCUUUUUUCCCUUUUUUCCCUCCCUUGACAGGCUUAACCCAUCCAAGUCAUGUCUUCUUGGAUGCUGUUCUACACUGACUUUCACCCUGCCUUGCUGUUUUGUCUUCUUGUACUUUUUCUCCUGUCCUGAACCUCACUCCAUCCUCUGGCCAAUGUCCUGGCUCAUUCCCUGUCCUGCCUCUUUUUUUUUAAGCAGUACUGGGAAUUGAACCCAGUGGUGCUCUACCACUGAACUACAUCCUCCAGCCCUUAAUUUUUUUUAUAUCUUUAUUUUGUUUGUUUAGUUUUUGUGGUGCUGGGGAUCGAACCCAGUGCCUCACACUUGCUAGGCAAGUGCUCUACCACUGAGCCACCACCCUAGCCCUCCAGCCCUUAAUUUUGAAACAGGAUCUUACUAAGUUGCCCAGGCUGUCCUUGAACUUGUGAUCCUCCUGUCUCUGUCUACUGAGUUGCUGGGCCAUUGUGCCUGGCCCCGUUCUGCUUAGUGAUCUCUAUCCUGUAUCCCCUGUACUCCUUCCUUUCCUGUUCUUUUAUCCUAUUCCCAAUCUUUUUUUUUUUUCAGAGUAGAAAUUAGAAGUUUAUUAAAGGACAGCAGAAAAGACUUCUCCUGGAGGAAGAAGGGGACCCAAGAGGUGGAAUCCCCCUAUUCCCAAUCUAACACUACUUUUCUACCCCUUACCAUGCCCUUCCAUCCUAUUCAGGUCUUCCUCCUUUCUAACAUCUACUUCCCCUCCCUUCUGAGUCCAGUACAUUAUACCCUGCCCCUGAACUUGAAGGUUCCAUUGUUCCCAGGGUUUUUAAAGUAUACUCCAAAUGCUGAAGAGCAAGCAGUACUGUGAGCUCUGUGUGGUUGAUGGGAUUUUUGUAUGUGAUCUCUCCCUCCCUCAUCUCCUCUCCAGUGAUCUCCAAUAGAGCUUGCAUUUCUCUUCCUGCAGGAGGGCAUGGAAAUCUUCCUAUGUCCCCUGCCCUCCCUAAGUGUGAAAAACACCCUAAAUUAUUCAGUGACUCUCUGGGAGUCAAGAGGUGCAGGUCAGGUUUCCAGCCUUACUAUGUCCAGGGCUGUCACUAGUUGGGGGGAGGCAGGGAGAUUGAGAACAUAUGUGGGGUAGGGGCCUAGAGUAUGUAUGAAUCUUCUAGGUCACAUUACCCGCCUUUCCUGAUUUUUUUGGAGAGGGUACCAGAGGUUGAACUCAGGGGUACCCAACCUCUGAGCCACAUCCUCAGCCCUCUUUUGUAUUUUAUUUAGAGACAGGGUCUUACUGAGUUGUUUUUUUUUUUUUUUUUUUUUAAAGAUAGAGUGAGAGAGGGAGGGAGAGAGAGAGAGAGAGAGAGAAUUUUAAUAUUUAUUUUUUAGUUUUCGGCAGACACAACAUCUUUGUUUGUAUGUGGUGCUGAGGAUCGAACCCGGGCCGCACGCAUGCCAGGCGAGCGCGCUACCGCUUGAGCCACAUCCCCAGCCCCCUUACUGAGUUGUUUAGUGCCUCGCUUUUGCUGAGGCUGGCUUUGAACUCGUGAUCAUCUUGUCUCAGCCUCCUGAGCUACUGGGAUUACAGGCAUGUGCUACUACACCUGACCCCUUCCCUGUUCUUGAUCCUAGGUGUGUAAUCCCUGCUUUUCUGGCUGGAGAAAAGUCUAUUGUAGGUCAGAGGCUUGGUGGGGGUAGGUUGGAGGUUGGGGUUUAUACACUUCUCUCCUGGUGGUAAACAAUAAAAAUUUGGGUGCUAAGUCCAUCCCACCUCUGUGGGACCAGUGUGUGUGUGUGUGUGCACGUGCACGCUUUGGGGGUAGGGGGAAUGCAGGCUGUCACUGGAUGUUAGAAUCAGGCCCAUCUAAGUGGGUGUGGUUGCACACACCUGUAGUCCCAACUAUUCAGGAGGCUGAGACAGGAGAAUCACUUGGGCCAAGGAGUUUGUAGCCAGCUGGGCAACACAGCAUGAUAGUCUCAAAAAAAGUAUUUUUAGUUGUUCCAAAGGAAAUGAAAUAUUUACGUCUAUACUUAAAAAAUAUUUACAGAAUCUGUUUGCUUGAAAAUUAUGAAGUGGUAAGACAAUAAGCUAAGGAAGGCUUUAAAAGAGUCAAUAGAUUGGAUCCCUCAACAUAGAAAAGCUAUCAAUUUACAGGUUUAAUAAUUUUUUUUUGAUACCAGGGAUUGAACUCAGGGGCACUCGAACACUGAGCCACAUCCCCAGCCCUAUUUUUGUAAUUAUAAUUUAGAGACAGGGUCUCACUGAGUUGCUUAGCACCUUGUGGUUGCUGAAGCUUGUUUUGAACUCGCAAUCCUCCUGUCUCAGCCUCCCGAGAUGCUGGGAUUAUAGGCGUGCACCACUGCACCCAGUUUACAGGUUUAAUAAAUUUUUGUUAAAGUCCUAAAAAAAAAAAAAACAGAAAAAGAAUCAGGCCAUCCAGUAGUAACAAUUACAACAAUAACGUGAGAUUCCUUUGCUAUGUGAAUAUUCUUGAUUUUAAGGAUGGAUAGGGUGAAUAGUGAGAUGGUAAUGUGUUAUUCACUUAUUCCUGCAUUUCUUAUAGAGUAGUGAAUUUGAAUGAUGAAUAUCAGACCCAUCUUAUUUAUUCAAGACAUUUCUCCAAAUCUGUCAAUAACAACUAGUUGUUCUUCACUGUCCCAAUCUAUUUAGUGUCUGAGUUCUGAGUCAGGAAGAUUUCUUGGAGUUCAGACAGUGAAACCUAACUGAAGGUACUUUGUGGUCCCAUCUUACAUAGUGAGAAGUGAAAGUUCAGAUAAUCAGGGAUAAUGACUCCAACUCAAAAGGUAUUCAGGAAGGGCAUGGUGGCGCACGCCUGUAGUCCCAAUAGCUUGGGAGGCUGAGGCAAGAGGAUCACAAGUUCAAAGCCAGCCUCAACAAUUUAGUGAGGUCCUCUGCAACUUAGCAAGAGCCUAUCUCAAAAUAAAAUAUAUAAAAAGGGCUAGGGAUGUGGCUCAGUGGUUAAGUGCCCCUUAAAUGGGUUCAAUCCCUAGUAUCAAAAAAAAAAAAAAAAUCCAGGGGCUGAGGAUAUGGGUUUGUGGUAGAGUGUUUGCCUAGCAUGCACAAGACACUGGGUUCUGUCCCCAGCACAGUUUAAAAAAUUUCAAUUCCUAUAUUUGAUAGUGAGAGUUCCAACAAUUUAUCUGAAUGUAUUUGGUUUCUGCAUUUUUACUUUGGUACCUGGGAUUGAACCUAGGGAUGUUCUACCAUUGAAUUAUACCCCCAGCUCUUUUUUUUUUUUAAUUUUGAAACAGGGUCUUGCUAAGUUGCCCAGAGUGGCCUUGAAUUCCUCAGCCUGGAAUUAUAGGUGUGCCCCAUGGCGUCCUUGUUUCCUGAAUUUUUAAUUUUUAAUGUUGAGUUGAGGGAGAGGUUGGAGAUUAGGGAAAACAGCCCUGUUUCAAAAAAUGUCUGGUUUGGCAAGUAGGGAGGGUUUGGAGGCUGAGGGAUACUAGCUGUCUUUGAAAUGCAUCUGAAUAUAUUUAUAUCCUGAUUUUGGAUAGUGAGAGUUCAGACAGCUUAUCAGAGAGAAAAUAGGUCUGUUUCAAAUUUAUCCAGUGAGGUUGAGAGACACCGGCUGCAUCUCAAAAAACAAAACAAAACAACAACAACAAAAAAACCCCACAACCCAGUCCAGAUAUAUCUGUUUGAUUCCUGAGUUCUUUGGGGAGGAAUACUUGUGAUUAUGACAGCCAUCAUAACUGAGCACUUACGGUAGUCUAUUAACUGAUUUAAUGCUCACAACAGCUCUGUGUGCACUACAUACUGUUCUCAUCAUCCCCAUUUAACAAAUGAGAACAUUGAGGCACAGAGACAUUAAGUGAGUUGUCUAAGCCGGCAUACAAUAGUAAAUGACAGAGCUGGGUCAAAUCCCACAUCUACAACUUAUUAGCUGUGUAGUAUCCAUGGGAGACUCAGGACCCACUGGAGUAGGGCUGAGAGUUUGGGCCAUCUUCCAGGCUGUUAAAAAUCAUCAGAGCGGGGCUGGGGUUGUGGCUCAUGGUAGAGUGCUUGCCUAGCAUGUAUGAGGCACUGGGUUGGAUUCUCAGCACCACACAUAAGUAAAUGAAUAAAAUAAAGGUCCAUUGAUAUCUAAAAAAAAAUUUUUAAAAAAUCAUCAGAGCAAUGAUAUGUGUGGGUGACUCUGCCCUACUUGUCUAAAUGGCCAAGGAGGUCCAGCUACCUACUCCUCUCCACUUCCCUGCACCCCAAUCCAUCAAUGGAUGAGUUUAUUAUUGUUAUUACCAGUCAUUAAUGAUGUGGUGAGUUUCCUUGCACUUUGAAAUACCUUCCAGAGUUCCUUUGGCCUUUAUUAUCUUUAUACUCACCUUUUACCCAUUUUAUAGAUGAGGGAACCUAAGCCUUGAGAUUCAAUCUGCAUUGCCAGCCUCAGUCUCUUGUCCCUGUUGGCUCUGAUUUUAUAUACAUCUCACUUCCUACCGUCCUAACAUUCUUGGUGGCCCGCAAGAGGUGGCAGAGGCCAUGGCCAAGAAAACACUCCCCACUAACACCGAGCUAGUUGCCCACCUUUCUGUUGUCCGACUCCACCAGCUCUGGGCAGAGAAGGAGGGAAGAAGGGGGAAGUAAUGAAAGGGGCCUUUGUGUGCCACACCGGAAAUCUCACACCCAGGAAGAAAGGUGGGCAGGGAUGGCAGGAGGCCUUAAUAGCAUGUGACAAAGGGAACUCUCUUGCUUGGCACACCUGCCAAAAUAGGGAGAGAGCAUUCCUCACACUCUGCUCUUUCAUGUUGUAGCAGGGCUGCUGCAGGGACCUGGGUUAGGUUUGGGCCUUGAGGUCACAGAGCAGACGAUCCCAUAUGGAGCACAGGAUGUGUGGUGUGCGCUGGGACAGGCCCAGAGCCCAUGUGGUGUUGUCCUUACAUUGUAGGGACUUGGAACCCUCAAUUUCCUUGUCUGGCAUGAAGCCUGACUCCUGUCCAGAAAUGGCAAGAGGAAGAAAUGAAGGAGACCCAGCAAGGAUGUGAAGAAGCCUGAACCUCCUUCCUACUCCUCCUCCUUCAGGAGCAACCUCUGCCUGCCUUCAGACCCAAGAUUCUGAUUCUACCUGCUUUUUUUGGCGGGGGAGGUGAAU
rnacentral:lncRNA from 1 species